GAUGAACGCUGGCGGCGUGCCUAACACAUGCAAGUCGAACGGAAAUCAGGCGCUUCGGAGACUUCGGUCAAUGUUUGCCUGGUUUUAGUGGCGGACGGGUGAGUAACGCGUGGAUAACCUGCCUCAUACAGGGGGAUAACAGUUAGAAAUGACUGCUAAUACCGCAUAAGCGCACGGGAUCGCAUGGUCCUGUGUGAAAAACUCCGGUGGUAUGAGAUGGAUCCGCGUCUGAUUAGCUAGUUGGCGGGGUAACAGCCCACCAAGGCGACGAUCAGUAGCCGGCCUGAGAGGGUGAACGGCCACAUUGGGACUGAGACACGGCCCAAACUCCUACGGGAGGCAGCAGUGGGGGAUAUUGCACAAUGGGGGAAACCCUGAUGCAGCGACGCCGCGUGAGUGAAGAAGUAUUUCGGUAUGUAAAGCUCUAUCAGCAGGGAAGAUAAUGACGUAC
rnacentral:rRNA from 1 species